UGGGGAAUAUUGCACAAUGGGCGCAAGCCUGAUGCAGCAACGCCGCGUGAGGGAUGACGGCCUUCGGGUUGUAAACCUCUUUUAGCAGGGAAGAAGCGAAAAGUGACGGUACCUGCAGAAAAAAGCACCGGCUAACUACGUGCCAGCAGCCGCGGUAAUACGUAGGGUGCAAGCGUUGUCCGGAAUUAUUGGGCGUAAAGAGCUCGUAGGCGGUCUGUCGCGUCUGCUGUGAAAUCCCGAGGCUCAACCUCGGGCCUGCAGUGGGUACGGGCAGACUAGAGUGCGGUAGGGGAGAAUGGAACUCCUGGUGUAGCGGUGGAAUGCGCAGAUAUCAGGAAGAACACCGAUGGCGAAGGCAGUUCUCUGGGCCGUAACUGACGCUGAGGAGCGAAAAGCGUGGGGAGCGAACAGGAUUAGAUACCCUGGUAGUCCACGCCGUAAACGUUGGGCGCUAGAUGUGGGGACCAUUCCACGGUUUCCGUGUCGCAGCUAACGCAUUAAGCGCCCGCCUGGGGAGUACGGCCGCAAGGCUAAAAACU
rnacentral:rRNA from 1 species